rnacentral:rRNA from 1 species
UACCAUGCAGUCGAGCGGAGAGAGGUAGCUUGCUACUAAUCUUAGCGGCGGACGGGUGAGUAAUGCUUAGGAAUCUGCCUAUUAGUGGGGGACAACAUUUCGAAAGGAAUGCUAAUACCGCAUACGUCCUACGGGAGAAAGCAGGGGAUCUUCGGACCUUGCGCUAAUAGAUGAGCCUAAGUCGGAUUAGCUAGUUGGUGGGGUAAAGGCCUACCAAGGCGACGAUCUGUAGCGGGUCUGAGAGGAUGAUCCGCCACACUGGGACUGAGACACGGCCCAGACUCCUACGGGAGGCAGCAGUGGGGAAUAUUGGACAAUGGGCGGAAGCCUGAUCCAGCCAUGCCGCGUGUGUGAAGAAGGCCUUAUGGUUGUAAAGCACUUUAAGCGAGGAGGAGGCUACUUUAGUUAAUACCUAGAGAUAGUGGACGUUACUCGCAGAAUAAGCACCGGCUAACUCUGUGCCAGCAGCCGCGGUAAUACAGAGGGUGCAAGCGUUAAUCGGAUUUACUGGGCGUAAAGCGCGCGUAGGCGGCUAAUUAAGUCAAAUGUGAAAUCCCCGAGCUUAACUUGGGAAUUGCAUUCGAUACUGGUUAGCUAGAGUGUGGGAGAGGAUGGUAGAAUUCCAGGUGUAGCGGUGAAAUGCGUAGAGAUCUGGAGGAAUACCGAUGGCGAAGGCAGCCAUCUGGCCUAACACUGACGCUGAUGUGCGAAAGCAUGGGGAGCAAACAGGAUUAGAUACCCUGGUAGUCCAUGCCGUAAACGAUGUCUACUAACCGUUGGGGCCUUU